GAUGAACGCUGGCGGCGUGCCUAAUACAUGCAAGUCGAGCGAACGGACGAGAAGCUUGCUUCUCUGAUGUUAGCGGCGGACGGGUGAGUAACACGUGGAUAACCUACCUAUAAGACUGGGAUAACUUCGGGAAACCGGAGCUAAUACCGGAUAAUAUUUUGAACCGCAUGGUUCAAAAGUGAAAGACGGUCUUGCUGUCACUUAUAGAUGGAUCCGCGCUGCAUUAGCUAGUUGGUAAGGUAACGGCUUACCAAGGCAACGAUGCAUAGCCGACCUGAGAGGGUGAUCGGCCACACUGGAACUGAGACACGGUCCAGACUCCUACGGGAGGCAGCAGUAGGGAAUCUUCCGCAAUGCGCGAAAGCCUGACGGAGCAACGCCGCGUGAGUGAUGAAGGUCUUCGGAUCGUAAAACUCUGUUAUUAGGGAAGAACAUAUGUGUAAGUAACUGUGCACAUCUUGACGGUACCUAAUCAGAAAGCCACGGCUAACUACGUG
rnacentral:rRNA from 1 species